rnacentral:rRNA from 1 species
GAUGAACGCUAGCUACAGGCUUAACACAUGCAAGUCGAGGGGAAACGAUAUUGGAAGCUUGCUUCCGAUAGGCGUCGACCGGCGCACGGGUGAGUAACGCGUAUCCAACCUGCCCGUCACUUGGGGAUAACCUUGCGAAAGUAAGACUAAUACCCGAUGAUAUCCCUAGACGACAUCUGAAAGGGAUUAAAGAUUUAUCGGUGAUGGAUGGGGAUGCGUCUGAUUAGCUUGUUGGCGGGGUAACGGCCCACCAAGGCAACGAUCAGUAGGGGUUCUGAGAGGAAGGUCCCCCCACAUUGGAACUGAGACACGGUCCAAACUCCUACGGGAGGCAGCAGUGAGGAAUAUUGGUCAAUGGGCGAGAGCCUGAACCAGCCAAGUAGCGUGCAGGAUGACGGCCCUAUGGGUUGUAAACUGCUUUUAUACGGGGAUAAAGUGAGCCACGUGUGGCUUAUUGCAGGUACCGUAUGAAUAAGGACCGGCUAAUUCCGUG